GAUUCCUACGGGACGCAGCAGUGGGGGAUAUUGCACAAUGGGGGGAACCCUGAUGCAGCGACGCCGCGUGGGUGAAGAAGCGCCUCGGCGCGUAAAGCCCUGUCAGCAGGGAAGAAAAUGACGGUACCUGAAGAAGAAGCCCCGGCUAACUACGUGCCAGCAGCCGCGGUAAUACGUAGGGGGCAAGCGUUAUCCGGAUUUAUUGGGUUUAAAGGGUGCGUAGGCGGGACGGUAAGUCAGCGGUAAAAAUGCGGAGCUCAACUCCGUCGAGCCGUUGAAACUGCCGUUCUUGAGUGAGCGAGAAG
rnacentral:rRNA from 1 species